GGGCCCGCACAAGCGGUGGAGCAUGUGGUUUAAUUCGAUGAUACGCGAGGAACCUUACCAGGGCUUAAAUGUAGUCUGACAGGGUAGAAACACCCCCUCCCUUCGGGCAGAUUACAAGGUGCUGCAUGGUUGUCGUCAGCUCGUGCCGUGAGGUGUCAGGUUAAGUCCUAUAACGAGCGCAACCCCUGCCGUUAGUUGCCAGCAUGUAAUGAUGGGAACUCUAACGGGACUGCCGGUGCAAACCGCGAGGAAGGUGGGGAUGACGUCAAAUCAUCACGGCCCUUACGUCCUGGGCUACACACGUGCUACAAUGGCCGGUACAGAGGGUAGCCACUACGCGAGUAGGCGCGAAUCUUCAAAGCCGGUCUCAGUUCGGAUAGGAGUCUGCAACUCGACUCCUUGAAGUUGGAGUC
rnacentral:rRNA from 1 species